rnacentral:rRNA from 1 species
AUUGAACGCUGGCGGCGUGCCUAACACAUGCAAGUCGAUCGGUAACGCGGGGGCAACCCUGGCGACGAGAGGCGGACGGGUGAGCAACGCUUGGGAAUCUGCCCAUCAGCGGGGGACAACCCGGGGAAACCCGGGCUAAUACCGCAUACGCUCUACGGAGGAAAGCAGGGGACCGCAAGGCCUUGCACUGAUGGAUGAGCCCAAGCCGGAUUAGCUAGUUGGCGGGGUAACGGCCCACCAAGGCGACGAUCCGUAGCUGUUCUGAGAGGACGUACGACCACAGCGGAACUGAGACGCGGUCAGGACUACUACGGGAGGCAGCAGUGGGGAAUAUUGGACAAGGGGGGAAACCCUGAUCCAGCGAGGCCGCGUGGGUGAAGAAGGCCUGCGGGUUGUAAACCGCUGUCGAGGGGGAUGAAGGCAUUCAGGUACUCCUGAAUGUUUGACAGAGCCCUGGAGGAAGCACGGGCUAAGUUCGUGCCAGCCGCCGCCGUAAUAC